GCCUUCGUGGUGUAGUGGUCAGCACACUGAGCAGGUAUUUCAGAGGUCCGUGGUUCGAUUCCUGGCGAAGGCC
rnacentral:tRNA from 1 species